rnacentral:rRNA from 1 species
AACGAACGCUGGCGGCAGGCUUAACACAUGCAAGUCGAACGCCCCGCAAGGGGAGUGGCAGACGGGUGAGUAACGCGUGGGAACAUACCCUUUUCUACGGAAUAGCUCUGGGAAACUGGAAUUAAUACCGUAUACGCCCUACGGGGGAAAGAUUUAUCGGGGAAGGAUUGGCCCGCGUUGGAUUAGCUAGUUGGUGGGGUAAAGGCCUACCAAGGCGACGAUCCAUAGCUGGUCUGAGAGGAUGAUCAGCCACAUUGGGACUGAGACACGGCCCAAACUCCUACGGGAGGCAGCAGUGGGGAAUAUUGGACAAUGGGCGCAAGCCUGAUCCAGCCAUGCCGCGUGAGUGAUGAAGGCCCUAGGGUUGUAAAGCUCUUUCACCGAUGAAGAUAAUGACUGUAGUCGGAGAAGAAGCCCCGGCUAACUUCGUGCCAGCCGCCGCGGUAAUAC